GGUGUUUUAAAUGUUAUAUGUUUUUUGUUAUGCAGUCAGUCACUGAUCAGUUGGGGAGGUAGUACGUCUAUUUUUUUUUUAAUGGAUGAAGAGAGGGGAAUUAAAUUAUCAAUAAAUGUACAGGGACUAAAUUCCCCACAGAAACGACAGUUAGUACUAAAACAAUUAAGGGAUCUCAAUGUGUCGAUCAGAUUUUUACAGGAGACUCACUGGAAGCAUAAUGCUCCCAUGUUGAAGAGCUCUUAUUACCCAGUUGUCAUCUCUUCUGUAUACAGAGCUAAG